rnacentral:tRNA from 1 species
GGGAAUGUGGCUCAGUGGUAGAGUGCUUGCCUACCAUGCAUGAAACCGUGGGUUUGAUUCCUCAGUACCA